rnacentral:rRNA from 1 species
CAGCCGCCGCGGUAAUACAGAGGGUGCGAGCGUUAAUCGGAUUUACUGGGCGUAAAGCGUGCGUAGGCGGCUUCUUAAGUCGGAUGUGAAAUCCCUGAGCUUAACUUAGGAAUUGCAUUCGAUACUGGGAAGCUAGAGUAUGGGAGAGGAUGGUAGAAUUCCAGGUGUAGCGGUGAAAUGCGUAGAGAUCUGGAGGAAUACCGAUGGCGAAGGCAGCCAUCUGGCCUAAUACUGACGCUGAGGUACGAAAGCAUGGGGAGCAAACAGGAUUAGAUACCCCGGUAGUACCUGUCUCUUAUAC